UACGGAGGGGACUAGCGUUGUUCGGAAUUACUGGGCGUAAAGCGCGCGUAGGCGGAUUUGCAAGUCGGGGGUGAAAGCCCGAGGCUCAACCUCGGAACUGCCCUCGAUACUGCAAAUCUCGAGUCCGAGAGAGGUGAGUGGAAUUCCUAGUGUAGCGGUGAAAUUCGUAGAUAUUGGGAAGAACACCGAUGGCGAAGGCAGCCAUCUGGACCGACACUGACGCUGAGGCGCGAAAGCGUGGGGAGCAAACAGG
rnacentral:rRNA from 1 species